rnacentral:rRNA from 1 species
GGGAGGCAGCAGUGGGGAAUAUUGCACAAUGGGCGAAAGCCUGAUGCAGCAACGCCGCGUGGAGGAAGAAGGUUUUCGGAUUGUAAACUCCUGUUGUUGAGGAAGAUAAUGACGGUACUCAACAAGGAAGUGACGGCUAACUACGUGCCAGCAGCCGCGGUAAAACGUAGGGUGCAAGCGUUGUCCGGAAUUACUGGGUGUAAAGGGAGCGCAGGCGGACCGGCAAGUUGGAAGUGAAAACUAUGGGCUCAACCCAUAAAUUGCUUUCAAAACUGUUUUUCUUGAGUAGUGCAGAGGUAGGCGGAAUUCCCGGUGUAGCGGUGGAAUGCGUAGAUAUCGGGAGGAACACCAGUGGCGAAGGCGGCCUACUGGGCACCAACUGACGCUGAGGCUCGAAAGUGUGGGUAGCAAACAGGAUUAGAUACCCCUGUAGUC